GACGAACGCUGGCGGCGUGCUUAACACAUGCAAGUCGAGCGGUAAGGCCCUUUCGGGGGUACACGAGCGGCGAACGGGUGAGUAACACGUGGGUGACCUGCCCUCAGCUCUGGGAUAAGCCUGGGAAACCGGGUCUAAUACUGGAUAUGACUCCACGACGCAUGUUGUGGGGUGGAAAGCCUUGUGCGGCUGAGGAUGGGCCCGNGGCCUAUCAGCUUGUUGGUGGGGUNAUGGCCUACCAAGGCGACGACGGGUAGCCGGCCUGAGAGGGCGACCGGCCACACUGGGACUGAGACACGGCCCAGACUCCUACGGGAGGCAGCAGUGGGGAAUCUUGCGCAAUGGGCGAAAGCCUGACGCAGCGACGCCGCGUGAGGGAUGACGGCCU
rnacentral:rRNA from 1 species